rnacentral:lncRNA from 1 species
GGCCGCGGUGCCUUAGCGGCACACUGAGCAUGCGCAUCCACCUUCUUGCUAGGGUUCCCCUGUAGUAAAGGCGGGUACCGCACACGGGGAACCUGCACGUUAACUGCUCAAGUUGCUGUACGACCCCCUCCGCUGUGGACAUUGCUGCAGGGCGCAUGACCUCGAGGAGCAGUUGCCCAGUCGGGGCAGGUUUGUAUGGCACCUCAGCGCUCAACGAAAUAAUAGUGUGCUCCCCUGACCUAUCCCAUAAGAAGCGCAGCGGGGAGCCUGAGCGCCGAGUAGCAGGGAGUUUCCUGCUUCCCUCUAGUAAGCAACGGCGGGUGAGGAGGACGAGAAACACCGGGGCUUGCUAUGGAAAGCGAGGACAGAGGAGAAGCCCGGAUCUGGAGGCUGCCUGGGUGCGCACGCGCUCCUCACUAGGGUAACUGUCGGGAAGCACAGAAAUGAGAGCUUCAGCUGCCAGAUGACUUUGAAAAGUUCCCACCAAGUUGAGGUGACCAAAUGUGUGAGGGCUGGGUUUGCAAAAGAUCCAUCUCCAACCAGCGUUAGGAAACGAGCGGACUUCACUGGAGCCACCUCUCAGGCUCAGCACCAUAUUGCCACUGAGUAGCGGUUUUGUAUUAAAAAAGCAAUUGUAGUAACACACACACACACAGACGCCCCCAGUGUCUCACGUAGUUAACAGGAAACUAUUCUGCAGAGGAUGGCCUUGAACUCUUGAUCUUUCUGUCUUCAUCUCCACAAGUGGUGCUUUGGGAUGGAACCCAGGGCUUAAUCCUUACUAGGCAAGCCCUCUACCAACUGAGCUAUAUCCUCAACCUGACACUGUUAAGAUUGACUUUUUUAAAAAGAUUUUAUUUGAUUUUUUUUUUCAUUUGUGUGUGUACGCAUGUGCAGGCUGGGGGGGGGGGCGUCUAUCCCAUCCCCUGGAGCUGGAGUUUCCCCGUGUUUGUGAGCCACCCUGUAGGUACUGGGAACUGAAAUUGGGUGCUCAGGAAGAGCAGCCAGAUCUCUUAACCAUUGGGCCAUCUCUUCAGCCCCUUAAGAUAGCUUUUUCUUUGGCUAUUUUUGCAAUGUUUUUAAUUUCAAUUUUUUAAUUUAGUUUAAUCAGGUAAAAGCUGUGUUCUACUGUACUGUUUUAUUAUGUACUUAAUAAAAUAACUCACGUGGUCAAA